rnacentral:rRNA from 1 species
UACGGGGGGGGCAAGCGUUGUUCGGAAUUACUGGGCGUAAAGGGCUCGUAGGUGGCCAACUAAGUCAGACGUGAAAUCCCUCAGCUUAACUGGGGAACUGCGUCUGAUACUGGAUGGCUUGAGUUUGGGAGAGGGAUGCGGAAUUCCAGGUGUAGCGGUGAAAUUCGUAGAUAUUGGCUGGAACACCGGUGGCGAAAGCGGCUCUCUGGCCCGGUUCUGACGCUGAGGCGCGAAAGCGUGGGGAGCAAACAGG